GGAGGGCGUAAAUGUUUCCAGCACGCUGAUUCGUGCUGCGCGGGUGAUAGCGUUCCGCACUCAACACACGGACACUUUUGAUUAAUUUAACUGUUCGCUGUGCAGCUUUUGCAACAUAUACGAAGACGUUGUAAAGAGUUAAAGCCUAUUUGCUAUCCAGAAGACUCUGCUCUAGGGUAACCUGUGUUGUUGGCCAGAGGAUCUCUCUCCCUGUGAGGAGUCGUCUGCUGCUGUUGCUGGAUUGGUGACCAUGUCAGCCUCCGCUCUCAUCCACCUGGCCCGGUCGGGGGGGACUCAGGCCAUGCGACAGAGGGGUUUCCUCCAGACAGCCCUAGUGAGUGUCCUACCCCUGCAGGAUGACCUCCCCCUCCAACGGCCUCUCCACCUGGGCCUGCUGCGGGCCAGCAACACGCGCUUCGACCCGGACAGCAGCGGCAAGCCCACCACCUGGGACUCGUUCGGCAUCUGGGACAACCGCAUAGAUGAGCCCAUCAACCUGUCGCCCUCCAUCAAGUACGGCAAGCCCAUCCCCAAGGUCAGCCUGUCCAAGGUGGGCUGCGCCUCGCUCAUCGGCCACCGGCGGGAGAAUGAGGACCGCUUCCAGGUCUCCCAGAUGACAGACAAUAUCCUCUACUUUGCCGUGUUCGACGGCCACGGAGGGCCUGAGGCGGCAGACUUCUGCGACAAGUACAUGGAGAAGUACAUUAAGGAUCUUGUAGCAGAGGAGGACAAUCUGGAAGUUGUUCUUACUAAAGCAUUCCUUGAACUGGACAAAGCCUUGGCAAGACACCUCCACUUCUUCCCUCAUGUGGUGAGCGCUGGCUCCACGGCCACGGUGGCCCUGCUGAGGGACGGUAUAGAGCUGGUGGUGGGCAGCGUGGGGGACAGCCGCGCCAUGCUCUGCCGCAAGGCCAAGGCCCUCAAACUCACCUCGGACCACACCCCCGAGAGGAAGGACGAGAAGGAGAGAAUAAAGAAGAGCGGUGGCUGGGUGACCUGGAACAGUCUGGGGCAGCCCCAUGUCAAUGGCAGGUUAGCCAUGACACGCGCCAUCGGGGACUUUGACCUCAAGAGCACCGGGGUGAUCGCUGAGCCAGAGACCAAGAGAAUAUCAGUGAGUGUUUGCUGUCACCACCUCAGAGAAAUGAACUACUGUGCAGUAUCAGAGUGUAUACAUCUCAAAUGACACUCUAUUCCCUAUGAAGUGCACUACUUUUGACCUGGACCUAGAGCUGGGAAGAAAAACCGACAAUUAUCGAUACCGACCAUUUCUGACAUGUUACUGAUAUUGAUAAUAACGAUAAGUAGCCGUUACUAGAGGAAUAUGACAUUUGAAAUAAAAUAACUCUGCUAAUAUGGGCUAUUGCUAAUGGGACAGUGAUGGUCACAACAUUGAAAGUAGUAGUUUUAAGGGUAAUGUAAAAGAAAAGUAACUGGUGCACAUUGUUAUAAACUUAUCAUUCAAUUUAUUGUUAUUGUGAAAAUUCAGGGCAUUCAUAUGGAUUUUUGUCCAUAUCGCCCAGCUCUACCAGAACCUAAUUUAGUGCAUUCAUUUUGACCAGAUCCACACAGGGCUGGACAAAAGUAGUCCACUGUAUGAGGAAUAGGUUGGAAUUAGCCAAUGUCUGUCACUCGGUUUGGGUCAUUUUUGCCCCCGAGGUGUUUGGGUCAUUUUUGCCCCCGAGGUGUUUGGGUCAUUUUUGCCCCCGAGGUGUUUGGGUCAUUUUUGCCCCCGAGGUGUUUGGGUCAUUUUUGCCCCCGAGGUGUUUGGGUCAUUUUUGCCCCCGAGGUGUUUGGGUCAUUUUUGCCCCCGAGGUGUUUGGGUCAUUUUUGCCCCCGAGGUGUUUGGGUCAUUUUUGCCCCCGAGGUGUUUGGGUCAUUUUUGCCCCCGAGGUGUUUGGGUCAUUUUUGCCCCCGAGGUGUUUGGGUCAUUUUUGCCCCCGAGGUGUUUGGGUCAUUUUUGCCCCCGAGGUGUUUGGGUCAUUUUUGCCCCCGAGGUGUUUGGGUCAUUUUUGCCCCCGAGGUGUUUGGGUCAUUUUUGCCCCCGAGGUGUUUGGGUCAUUUUUGCCCCCGAGGUGUUUGGGUCAUUUUUGCCCCCGAGGUGUUUGGGUCAUUUUUGCCCCCGAGGUGUUUGGGUCAUUUUUGCCCCCGAGGUGUUUGGGUCAUUUUUGCCCCCGAGGUGUUUGGGUCAUUUUUGCCCCCGAGGUGUUUGGGUCAUCUUGGCCCCCGAGGUGUUUGGGUCAUCUUGGCCCCCGAGGUGUUUGGGUCAUCUUGGCCCCCGAGGUGUUUGGGUCAUCUUGGCCCCCGAGGUGUUUGGGUCAUCUUGUCAGGUUUGAUCACGUCUUUAGCCUGCGGGUGCUCAGAACAGUGACAUAUUAAGCUCCGAAGGGCAAAUGUGUUUCCUCUUUAUCACUGGAGACUGUCUGGCUUAGUCUCCGGCUUGUGUCAUGGUCUGUCUGUAGACGUCUGACAAUAAGGUAUUAACUUAAUGUUUCUAGCUGCAUCACGUCCACGACUCGUUCCUGGCGCUCACCACAGAUGGCAUUAACUUCAUCAUGAACAGCCAGGAGAUCUGUGAUGUCAUCAACCAGUGCCACGACCCCAAAGAGGCCGCCCAGAGGAUCUCAGAGCAGGCGCUUCAGUAUGGCUCAGAGGACAACAGCACCAUUAUCGUGGUUCCCUUCGGAGCCUGGGGGAAACAGAAGAAUUCAGAGACCAGCUACUCCUUCAGCCGCAGCUUCGUGUCCAGCGGCCGCUGGGCCUAAACAGGUGGACCCGGGUAGUCAUUAGUACGAAGUUACCCCUAGACACUAAUCUAGUGUCAGUUUAUGUUUCCCACCCCUACUGGUGAAGGUUAGGGCUGGGGGAGCGUAAUCUGAUCUGAGCUCUGUGGUUAUGGAUAACUUUGAUCAAAGCAGACUUAAAGGGAAGGGGAAUGGGGAGGGAGAUUCCUGUGGACCUUAUCGAUGUGCAAUAGUCUCCACACAGCGCGGCCAGUUCAAGACAUGCAGGGGAAAAGCACAGCUAACCAAGAACCGAUGCCUUAGGAACAAUGACAUGCCAUUUUACAGAUAAUAAUCCCGUAGUUUUGAGCCUGUUCUACAGAAAGGCUUUUGACUCAUUAUGUGCACUUAACAAGGAAUACGUCCUUUUCACUUCCUCUAAAAUCGAUGCCUAUUCCCUAUGUAGUGCACUACUUUUGACCGCCAAACGUAGUGCCCUACAUAGGGAAUUAGGUGCCAUUUUGGACGCAAACAAGGUUGCAGUAGAAAGCCAUCGACUUGGUGGGAGCUUGAAGCCUAAGAACUUACCUUAUUUUUCAUUGUGUGUAAGUGAGUUUGCAUUGUGCCAAGUAAGGCAAACCAGACGUUAAUUAGCUUUGUCUGUGAACUUGGGGGAAAGUGCUUCUUACUUGCAUGUCAUAGAGAAUGUUUUUGGUAGGAAGUUAUUCUGAGAAAUCAACAACGCACUUUUUUUUAUUUCCAGAUGAUGUUGAACUAAUUUGUUUCAAUGCGUCUCGUUCAUCCACUGUACUUGUUAGUGGAUAUCACUGUGCUGUGGUGCUGUUUUAUUUAGUUCUGAACAACAGUUUUAGUCUGUCGUCUCUUCGCGUGAAGCACUUGUCAGUAUUGAGUUCAGGACAAACUUCUCAGAAUGGGGAUUUUGGGUACAGUAAGGCGCUGCUUAUAGUACAGGGUUAUCAUUGACCAAUAUGUACAAAUUCAUAUCCGUCUAAUAGGAAAACACUCACACGCACUGCAGUCAAGACGUGUUAAUGGACCACUAUUUGAAUCUCUGCGUUUCUAUAAUUUCAGCAUGGUAGAAGGAAAAGCUGUGUGUAGAUACUGUAAUACACAGAAAGAGAGCCAGCCAAAUGAUGACAAAAGCCCAAAGUCUUGUAAUAGAUGGGCACAUGCAGUAUGGAAUGUAAUGUGUUAGUUCUCCUUGUUCUACAAUCAUAUUGGGCCCUCGGGAGCCACAGAAUGCAUUGAUGCCCCAGUUGCACAAGCCUUAAAGAUGCAGUCCUAGAUCUUAAGCACUUAGAAAUUCGUAACAUAUUGUACAAUGACUUUGUUCACAAUUGUGUCCAAUCUUCAGUGACUCGUUUUGGCUCGUGAUCACUUCUUUCAAAACUACUGGGUGAAAUUAUGCAAAGGCUUUGGAGCAUCACUUUGAGGUAAAGCUAUAGAGAAUAUCUAUUGAGCUGUGUUCUAAUGGUACUUAGUAGUUUAGUGUAAACACAGUUCAUGGUCGUUUGGCUCGAAAAUGACUUCAAACCAUUCCAAAAUAUUAUCUUUAUUGACAACAAACAGGUCAAACAACUUAACGCGGGAGAGCCUUUGUUUAUUUUGGUGAUAGGGACUUGGAACAACAGGAAAAAGUGUAAAAUGGUGUAUAUCUGAUAACCAUAGUCAUUUAAGAUGUUCUCAACUUGGGUACAGAAGUCAUUUGUAUUUUGUGAGUUUUGUACAUAGUUAUAUUUCUGUAUAUGUUUUGAUUGCAGGAAAACCGUCAGUGUACUAUUGUUAAGUGUUACAGUUCAAAUAUAUUACAUUUUUUUAGAAAGAAAUCUAAAAUUGCUCACUUACUAUUUUAUAGUUUGUCCCUUGUCCUCUAGUUGUUGAAAUGAAUUGGCUAAAAUAUCACUUGUAUUGCACUUGUAAUCAAAUAUGCUUUUUCAUAGGGAACCUUUAUAUGCAACAAUGAAUAAAGGAGACAGCUAACCAACAAACAUGUGAAAUGUGAAUGUCUGUAUUAAAAUGCCGUCAGUGACACAAAUGAAAGACUUUGUAGAACAACUUGAUGUAAAAAUAGAGCACAAACAGGGAUCCAAGCUAACCACAACUUGACUGUAAUUCGCAUGGAUAUCUCACUUAUGGUGCUUCCAGGUUGUUAUAAAUAAUGUAACGCUGCGUUGAUGUGCAUUAAAGCCACAGUUGUAUUUUUUUGCUGUCUAUCCCAGUCAGGAAUACUUAUGUCCAUGUAACAGCUAUACUGUUAAAUAUUACCGUUAAUGUGAUCAUCUACAAUCCAUGAAUGUACCUAUCCACCAUUUUAGGUUUUCCUCGUAGACAGUUUGUUUAUGUUUGUCCGUUCUCUCACGAUGUGAACAUUUAUUUAUCCUCCGUUUGUAAUGAGUAUUAGUUUCCUCUGAGUUCUCAUAACUAAAAUCUUGCAUACUAAGUAUCUCACCAGCCUUCUUACAUGUUUGUUGGUUUUAUUAUGUCUGUAUUUUACUUCAGAUUGUUCAUGUUGUAUACUGUAGUGCAGGGAUCAUCAACUAGAUUCAGCUGGGGGCUGAUUGUUAUCGGGAGCGUAUUGGUGGGGGGGUGGAAUAUAAUUACAAAUAAUUUGUGGUCUGCAAAUUGACCGCAAGAAUAUGUUUGACUAAAACAUGAUUGCAAACCUUUCUUAAAUUAAAAUCACUUGGAGCUGUU